UACGUAGGGUGCGAGCGUUAAUCGGAAUUACUGGGCGUAAAGCGUGCGCAGGCGGUUCGUUAUGUCCGAUGUGAAAGCCCCGAGCUUAACUUGGGAAUGGCAUUGGAAACUGGCGGGCUGGAGUGCGGCAGAGGGGGGUGGAAUUCCACGUGUAGCAGUGAAAUGCGUAGAUAUGCGGAGGAACACCGAUGGCGAAGGCAAUCCCCUGGACCUGUACUGACGCUCAUGCACGAAAGCGUGGGGAGCAAACAGG
rnacentral:rRNA from 1 species